CUAUGGAGCUUUAGACGUCAGAGCAGCUCAUGUAAAGCACCCCUUAACAAAGGAAAAAACCAAAUGAAACCUGCCCUAAUGUCUUUGGUUGGGGCGACCGCGGGGAAAUACAAAACCCCCAUGUGGAGUAGGAAUACAUAUUCCUAGACCCAAGAGCUCCCGCUCUAAUAAACAGAAAUUCUGACCAACAAGAUCCGGCAUAUGCCGAUCAACGGACCGAGUUACCCUAG
rnacentral:rRNA from 1 species